rnacentral:rRNA from 1 species
AUUGAACGCUGGCGGCAGGCCUAACACAUGCAAGUCGAGCGGAUGACGGGAGCUUGCUCCUUGAUUCAGCGGCGGACGGGUGAGUAAUGCCUAGAAAUCUGCCUGGUAGUGGGGGACAACGUUUCGAAAGGAACGCUAAUACCGCAUACGUCCUACGGGAGAAAGCAGGGGACCUUCGGGCCUUGCGCUAUCAGAUGAGCCUAGGUCGGAUUAGCUAGUUGGUGGGGUAAUGGCUCACCAAGGCGACGAUCCGUAACUGGUCUGAGAGGAUGAUCAGUCACACUGGAACUGAGACACGGUCCAGACUCCUACGGGAGGCAGCAGUGGGGAAUAUUGGACAAUGGGCGAAAGCCUGAUCCAGCCAUGCCGCGUGUGUGAAGAAGGUCUUCGGAUUGUAAAGCACUUUAAGUUGGGAGGAAGGGCAGUAAGCUAAUACCUUGCUGUUUUGACGUUACCGACAGAAUAAGCACCGGCUAACUCUGUGCCAGCAGCCGCGGUAAUACAGAGGGUGCAAGCGUUAAUCGGAAUUACUGGGCGUAAAGCGCGCGUAGGUGGUUUGUUAAGUUGGAUGUGAAAGCCCCGGGCUCAACCUGGGAACUGCAUCCAAAACUGGCAAGCUAGAGUACGGUAGAGGGUGGUGGAAUUUCCUGUGUAGCGGUGAAAUGCGUAGAUAUAGGAAGGAACACCAGUGGCGAAAGCGACCACCUGGACUGAUACUGACACUGAGGUGCGAAACCGUGGGGAGCAAAC